ACCUACGGGGGGCAGCAGUAGGGAAUUUUCGUCAAUGGGCGCAAGCCUGAACGAGCAAUGCCGCGUGAACGAGGAAGAUCUUCGGAUCGUAAAGUUCUGUUGAAGGGGAAAAAGAGCGGAGAGAGGAAAUGGUCUCCGAUUGAUAUUACCCUUCGAGGAAGUCACGGCUAACUACGUGCCAGCAGCCGCGGUAAUACGUAGGUGGCGAGCGUUAUCCGGAAUGAUUGGGCGUAAAGGGUGCGUAGACGGCCAGACAAGUCAGAAGUGAAAACCCGCGGCUCAACUGCGGGAGUGCUUUUGAAACU
rnacentral:rRNA from 1 species